rnacentral:rRNA from 1 species
GGGGUGACUGCGUACCUUUUGUAUAAUGGGUCAGCGACUUAUAUUCUGUAGCAAGGUUAACCGAAUAGGGGAGCCGAAGGGAAACCGAGUCUUAACUGGGCGUUAAGUUGCAGGGUAUAGACCCGAAACCCGGUGAUCUAGCCAUGGGCAGGUUGAAGGUUGGGUAACACUAACUGGAGGACCGAACCGACUAAUGUUGAAAAAUUAGCGGAUGACUUGUGGCUGGGGGUGAAAGGCCAAUCAAACCGGGAGAUAGCUGGUUCUCCCCGAAAGCUAUUUAGGUAGCGCCUCGUGAAUUCAUCUCCGGGGGUAGAGCACUGUUUCGGCAAGGGGGUCAUCCCGACUUACCAACCCGAUGCAAACUGCGAAUACCGGAGAAUGUUAUCACGGGAGACACACGGCGGGUGCUAACGUCCGUCGUGAAGAGGGAAACAACCCAGACCGCCAGCUAAGGUCCCAAAGUCAUGGUUAAGUGGGAAACGAUGUGGGAAGGCCCAGACAGCCAGGAUGUUGGCUUAGAAGCAGCCAUCAUUUAAAGAAAGCGUAAUAGCUCACUGGUCGAGUCGGCCUGCGCGGAAGAUGUAACGGGGCUAAACCAUGCACCGAAGCUGCGGCAGCGACACUAUGUGUUGUUGGGUAGGGGAGCGUUCUGUAAGCCUGUGAAGGUGUACUGUGAGGUAUGCUGGAGGUAUCAGAAGUGCGAAUGCUGACAUAAGUAACGAUAAAGCGGGUGAAAAGCCCGCUCGCCGGAAGACCAAGGGUUCCUGUCCAACGUUAAUCGGGGCAGGGUGAGUCGACCCCUAAGGCGAGGCCGAAAGGCGUAGUCGAUGGGAAACAGGUUAAUAUUCCUGUACUUGGUGUUACUGCGAAGGGGGGACGGAGAAGGCUAUGUUGGCCGGGCGACGGUUGUCCCGGUUUAAGCGUGUAGGCUGGUUUUCCAGGCAAAUCCGGAAAAUCAAGGCUGAGGCGUGAUGACGAGGCACUACGGUGCUGAAGCAACAAAUGCCCUGCUUCCAGGAAAAGCCUCUAAGCAUCAGGUAACAUCAAAUCGUACCCCAAACCGACACAGGUGGUCAGGUAGAGAAUACCAAGGCGCUUGAGAGAACUCGGGUGAAGGAACUAGGCAAAAUGGUGCCGUAACUUCGGGAGAAGGCACGCUGAUAUGUAGGUGAAGCGACUUGCUCGUGGAGCUGAAAUCAGUCGAAGAUACCAGCUGGCUGCAACUGUUUAUUAAAAACACAGCACUGUGCAAACACGAAAGUGGACGUAUACGGUGUGACGCCUGCCCGGUGCCGGAAGGUUAAUUGAUGGGGUUAGCGGUAACGCGAAGCUCUUGAUCGAAGCCCCGGUAAACGGCGGCCGUAACUAUAACGGUCCUAAGGUAGCGAAAUUCCUUGUCGGGUAAGUUCCGACCUGCACGAAUGGCGUAAUGAUGGCCAGGCUGUCUCCACCCGAGACUCAGUGAAAUUGAACUCGCUGUGAAGAUGCAGUGUACCCGCGGCAAGACGGAAAGACCCCGUGAACCUUUACUAUAGCUUGACACUGAACAUUGAGCCUUGAUGUGUAGGAUAGGUGGGAGGCUUUGAAGUGUGGACGCCAGUCUGCAUGGAGCCGGCCUUGAAAUACCACCCUUUAAUGUUUGAUGUUCUAACGUUGGCCCCUGAUCGGGGUUGCGGACAGUGUCUGGUGGGUAGUUUGACUGGGGCGGUCUCCUCCUAAAGAGUAACGGAGGAGCACGAAGGUUGGCUAAUCCUGGUCGGACAUCAGGAGGUUAGUGCAAUGGCAUAAGCCAGCUUGACUGCGAGCGUGACGGCGCGAGCAGGUGCGAAAGCAGGUCAUAGUGAUCCGGUGGUUCUGAAUGGAAGGGCCAUCGCUCAACGGAUAAAAGGUACUCCGGGGAUAACAGGCUGAUACCGCCCAAGAGUUCAUAUCGACGGCGGUGUUUGGCACCUCGAUGUCGGCUCAUCACAUCCUGGGGCUGAAGUAGGUCCCAAGGGUAUGGCUGUUCGCCAUUUAAAGUGGUACGCGAGCUGGGUUUAGAACGUCGUGAGACAGUUCGGUCCCUAUCUGCCGUGGGCGCUGGAGAACUGAGGGGGGCUGCUCCUAGUACGAGAGGACCGGAGUGGACGCAUCACUGGUGUUCGGGUUGUCAUGCCAAUGGCACUGCCCGGUAGCUAAAUGCGGAAGAGAUAAGUG